AACGAACGCUGGCGGCAUGCCUAACACAUGCAAGUCGAACGGGAUCCUAGCUUGCUAGGUGAGAGUGGCGGACGGGUGAGUAACACGUGGGAAUCUGCCUUUUGGUUCGGGAUAACCGCGGGAAACUGCGGCUAAUACCGAAUGCCCUCGAGAGAGGAAAGAUUUAUCGCCAGAAGAGGAGCCCGCAUCCGAUUAGGUAGUUGGUGGGGUAAAGGCCUACCAAGCCGACGAUCGGUAGCUGGUCUGAGAGGAUGAUCAGCCACACUGGGACUGAGAUACGGCCCAGACUCCUACGGGAGGCAGCAGUGGGGAAUAUUGGACAAUGGGGGCAACCCUGAUCCAGCAAUGCCGCGUGAGUGAUGAAGGCCUUAGGGUUGUAAAGCUCUUUUGCCAGGGAAGAUGAUGACUGUACCUGGAGAAUAAGCCCCGGCUAACCUUCGUGCCAGCAGCCGCGGUAAU
rnacentral:rRNA from 1 species